rnacentral:rRNA from 1 species
AUGGAAAUUACGUUAGGAUAUGCUACAAAACUACUUGAUAAUAUUAUGGCUAAUUGUUCUCAAUGGCACACCGAAAGAUCUUCUAGUAAAAAAGUGCAUGCUAUAGAAGAAAUCAAUGUUUUGAGUGGAAAGAUGGAUGAACUUAUGAAGAUGUUUGCUACUAAAAAUACUCCUCUUGAUCCCAAUGAUAUGCCUUUCUCUUCUUUGAUUGAGAAUAAUAUUGAAUCUAUGGAUGUGAAUUUUGUUGGUAGGAAUAGUUUUGGAAACAAUGCUUAUAGAGGAAAUUUUAAUGUUAGACCGUUCCCUAGUAACUCCUCUAAUAAUUAUGGAAAUUCCUACAAUAAUUCUUAUGGUAAUUUUAAUAAUAUUCCCUCUGAUUUUGAGAAUAGUGUGAAAGAAUUUAUGAUUUCUCAAAAGAAUUUUAAUGCUUUGCUUGAAGAAAAAUUGGUCAAAGUUGAUGAUUUGGCUAGGAACGUUGAUAGACUUUCGCUUGAUGUUGAUUCCCUUAAACUUAGAUCUUCUCCUCCUAAGCAUGAUAUCAAUGAGUCUCUCAAAGUAAUGAGAAUUUCCAUUGAUGAGUGUAAGGAAAGAACCACUAGAUUGCGUGCUAAAAGAGAUAGCUUUAUAAAAGCGUGUUCUUCUAGUUUCCGUGAAAAUAAUGACGAGGAUCUUAAAGUUAUUGAUGUGUCUCCUAUUAGAUCUAUGUUUUGCAAUAUGAAUUUUGAUGAUUAUGGGACUGAUGAUGAAUCAACUUUGCCUAGAAGGCAUCCCAAGAAUUCGGAGUCUUUAGAUCUCAAUGCUAAAUUUGGUAAAAGUGAGAUUGGAGAAUCCUCAACUUCUAAUAAUAUUGAACCUACUAUUUUGGAUUUCAAGGAAUUUGAUUAUGAUAAUUGCUCUUUAAAAGGUUGUAUUUCCUUGUUGCAAUCCGUUGUUAAUUCUCCUCAUGCUUAUAGUCAAAAUAAAGCUUUUACCAAACAUAUUGUUGAUGCCUUGAUGCAAUCUUAUGAUGAAAAACUUAAUUUGGAAGUUUCCAUACCUAGAAAACUUAAUGAUGAGUGGGAACCUAAUAUAAAGAUUAGAAUUAAAGAUUAUGAGUGUUUUGCUUUGCGUGAUUUGGGUGCUAGUGUUUCCACGAUUCCGAAAACUUUAUGUGAUAUUCUAGGUUUCCAUGAUCUUGAUGAUUGCUCUUUAAAUUUGCACCUUGCGGAUUCCACCAUUAAAAAGCCAAUGGGAAGGAUCAAUGAUGUUCUUAUUGUUCCAAAUAGAAAUUUGGUGCCCGUAGAUUCUAUCGUUCUUGAUAUAGAUUGCAACCUUUCUUGCCAUAUUAUUCUUGGUAGACCUUUCCUUAGAACGAUUGGUGCGAUUAUUGAUACGAAGGAAGGGAAUAUUAGAUUUCAAUUUCCAUUAAAGAAAGGCAUGGAGAACUUUCCAAGAAAUAAAGUCAAAUUACCUUAUGAAUGUAUCAUGCGAGCUACUUAUGAAUUUAGUGCCAAAGAUGACACUACUUAG